UACGUAGGGGGCAAGCGUUGUCCGGAUUUAUUGGGCGUAAAGAGCGUGUAGGCGGCCAUGUAGGUCCGUUGUGAAAACUCGAGGCUCAACCUCGAGACGCCGAUGGAAACCAUAUGGCUAGAGUCCGGAAGAGGAGAGUGGAAUUCCUGGUGUAGCGGUGAAAUGCGCAGAUAUCAGGAAGAACACCCCGUGGCUAAGGCGGCUCUCUAGUACGGUACUGACGCUGAGACGCGAAAGCGUGGGGAGCGAACAGG
rnacentral:rRNA from 1 species